UACGGAGGGUGCAAGCGUUAUCCGGAUUCACUGGGCUUAAAGGGUGCGUAGGCGGGCAGGUAAGUCAGUGGUGAAAUCUCCGAGCUUAACUCGGAAACUGCCAUUGAUACUAUUUGUCUUGAAUAUUGUGGAGGUAAGCGGAAUAUGUCAUGUAGCGGUGAAAUGCUUAGAUAUGACAUAGAGCACCAAUUGCGAAGGCAGCUUACUACACAAUGAUUGACGCUGAGGCACGAAAGCGUGGGGAUCAAACAGG
rnacentral:rRNA from 1 species